AAAUACUCAAAACACGCAUAAAACGCUUUCACUAACUGCGUACGUUACGCUAAUAUGCCAGCAAUACCAUAUAAGAGAAAUAAGUAAAAAGUUAUAGCUAAUUUGCUCGUUUAAUCAUGUUAAUGUUUCACAAUUCAUAUACAUUUGAUUUUUCCGUUUCAUACUCAACUAAAGCCGAAUGAAUACAAUGCUAUAAUUGAUAGACAUUCAUAUGAAUAUUAAUAAGAUAGCAACAUGUUGAUAAUCAUUCAUUAGAUAUAAAUAAAAGAUACAAAGUAAAUCGUUUCUGGCCAGUCUAUACCCUUUUUAAGGGAUAAACGUGAUGAUAUUUUCCAUUCCGUUCCGUUUUCCGUUCCGCGUUUUAGCAACACCCAUACAUACAUGUCUGUGUUUUCCGUAUGCAGAAAAGGAUUACGGUAGUUAAGAUCAGCUAAAGGAAUUCAUUAUUGUGUUUUAAUUGGAUUAUCAUUAUGAUGUUGACCAAUUUAGGGUUUAGUAUCUACAUUGCCACAUGGACGCACAUCCUAUGAAAGGUAUGGCGCUGAUCAUCAAAGAAGGGGAAAAACUCUCCACCCAAAACCUCUGAAAGGCUUUCCACACUGCGGAGAUUUUACAUGGACAAUAAAUGAGUCCCUAGGGGUAACAAACGACGGUCUAGCAACUUUGGGAUCGAAACGAAACUCAACCACCAAUGAUGAUAUCAAAAAAAAAGAAGCAAGACGAAGAUUAAGACGACUUUAGAAACGGCUGUUUUUCUCAUUGUCGUCUUUGGAACAGUUGCUUUAGUGUUAUGUUUAAUCAAAAGUAUUAAAAGUAAACAUGUUAAAGGGAAGAAUGAACUCGGAGAUCCAUAUUGCUUGCUAGGACAGGACAAGGAAUUCAAUUCCAAGCUGUACGGUUCUUUUGAAAUACAUUAGGUAUAUGAUGGCUUUAUAUGAAGAAAAUGCAAACCUUUUAAAAUUACAUAAUAAACAUAUUUUACAUAUAUAUUUCUACUUGUACCAACACUACCUUUUCUCUAUUAAUUAUAAACUAAUAGGAUAAUAAAGAUAUCUUAGUUCUCCUUAAAGUUGGCAUUGUUAUUUUUUCAAAAUUCAAAUGAGCAAAUAUAAUCAAUCAAAAUGAUGUCAUUUUUGAUUGUAUGUUUUAGCAGAAAAAAAUGUAUGCCCAUUCAAUGAGCUU